AAGCCUGAUGCAGCGACGCCGCGUGAGGGAUGACGGCCUUCGGGUUGUAAACCUCUUUCGCUCAUGGUCAAGCCGCAGCUUUGGGUUGUGGUGAGGGUAGUGGGUAAAGAAGCGCCGGCUAACUACGUGCCAGCAGCCGCGGUAAUACGUAGGGCGCGAGCGUUGUCCGGAAUUAUUGGGCGUAAAGGGCUUGUAGGCGGUUGGUCGCGUCUGCCGUGAAAUCCUCUGGCUUAACUGGGGGCGUGCGGUGGGUACGGGCUGACUUGAGUGCGGUAGGGGAGACUGGAACUCCUGGUGUAGCGGUGGAAUGCGCAGAUAUCAGGAAGAACACCGAUGGCGAAGGCAGGUUACUGGGCCGUUACUGACGCUGAGGAGCGAAAGCGUGGGGAGCGAACAGGAUUAGAUACCCUGGUAGUCCACGCUGUAAACGUUGGGCACUAGGUGUGGGGGCCACCCGUGGUUUCUGCGCCGUAGCUAACGCUUUAAGUGCCCCGCCUGGGGAGUACGGCCGCAAGGCUAAAACUCAAAGGAAUUGACGGGGGCCCGCACAAGCGGCGGAGCAUGCGGAUUAAUUCGAUGCAACGCGAAGAACCUUACCAAGGCUUGACAUAUACUGGACCGCAUCAGAGAUGGUGUUUCCCUUCGGGGCUGGUAUACAGGUGGUGCAUGGUUGUCGUCAGCUCGUGUCGUGAGAUGUUGGGUUAAGUCCCGCAACGAGCGCAACCCUUGUCCCGUGUUGCCAGCACGUUGUGGUGGGGACUCGCGGGAGACUGCCGGGGUCAACUCGGAGGAAGGUGGGGAUGACGUCAAAUCAUCAUGCCCCUUAUGUCUUGGGCUUCACGCAUGCUACAAUGGCCGGUACAGAGGGUUGCGAUACUGUGAGGUGGAGCUAAUCCCUUAAAGCUGGUCUCAGUUCGGAUUGGUGUCUGCAACUCGACACCAUGAAGGUGGAGUCGCUAGUAAUCGCAGAUCAGCAACGCUGCGGUGAAUACGUUCUCGGGCCUUGUACACACCGCCCGUCACGUCACGAAAGUUGGCAACACCCCAAGCCCGUGGCUCUACGGGGAGCGGUUAAAGGUGGGGCUAGCGAUUGGGACGAAGUCGUAACAAGGUAGCCGUACCGGAAGGUGCGGCUG
rnacentral:rRNA from 1 species